rnacentral:tRNA from 1 species
GCGGCCUUGGCCGAAUGACGAGGCAGCGGGCUUCCAACCCGCAUAAGGUGGGUUCGAUUCCCCCAGGCCGCUCCA